AAUUUCCUUCGGGGCAGGGUGCGAGGUAACAACCUCAAUUCCCGAUCGGUGGUGAUAACCCACGAGCGCAGAACACCGCGCGCAUGACCUGGUGAAAUUCCAGGGUCGACGGUACAGUCCGGAUGCAAGAAGGAAACA
rnacentral:ncRNA from 1 species